AGAUUGAACGCUGGCGGCAGGCCUAACACAUGCAAGUCGAGCGGCAGCACGGGUACUUGUACCUGGUGGCGAGCGGCGGACGGGUGAGUAAUGCCUAGGAAUCUGCCUGGUAGUGGGGGAUAACGCUCGGAAACGGACGCUAAUACCGCAUACGUCCUACGGGAGAAAGCAGGGGACCUUCGGGCCUUGCGCUAUCAGAUGAGCCUAGGUCGGAUUAGCUAGUUAGUGGGGUAAUGGCUCACCAAGGCGACGAUCCGUAGCUGGUCUGAGAGGAUGAUCAGCCACACUGGAACUGAGACACGGUCCAGACUCCUACGGGAGCAGCAGUGGGGAAUAUUGGACAAUGGGCGCAAGCCUGAUCCAGCCAUACCGCGU
rnacentral:rRNA from 1 species